UUCACUUACUUCCAUCCCAAUCCAACCGCACUCCUAUUUUGAAACUUACUAGAAUAUCUCUUAAAUUUGCUACAAUCAAUAUGGCAAAAGUAAUCAGCAUGGUACAAACCUUUCUUAGACUAGGAUUACUCGUACUAGUUUUGAUUGGGAUGACCCAAAUUGUUGGGGCUCAGAUUGAAACUGAACUCAAAUGUUCUGCAGACAAGUUAUAUAGUUUGUAUAGGCACAAUAUAGUGCAACAAUUUUUCCUGAUUACUUCAAGAGUAUCAAAAUUGUUAAGGGUGAUGGCAUAAGUUUGGGUUCCAUUAGGUUAUAGAAAUAUGUUAUACCAGAAGUAUCUUCCAAAGUAAUGGUGCUUAAGGAAAUGUUUAAAUCCGUGGACGACGAAACAGGUCAUUCACAUUAAGCGUUUUGGGAGGAGAUUUAAUGGCUUAAUAUAAGAGUUUUGAUGUCACGGUGACUAUAACUCCUAAAGAUAUUGAUGAUAUUGAAGAGUCUGGUAGUAAAGUGAAAUGGUGGAUAGAGUAUGAGAAAGGAACGGAAGAUGUUCAUAGUCCGGAUGCUGUUAUUGGCCUUAUAGAUGGUGUUAUUAAAGAGUUGGGUAAUUACCUCCUUCAGUAGUAAGCUCGAACAUGGAGUGAUUUUUCUUUCUCAUUUUCUCUUUGAAUUGUGCAUGGUGUCUUGCAGUUUGGAGUUGCUAGGGAAUCUGUAACUGAACUCUUAUGAGAUGCUUUUCUUUUCUUAAAGGGUCAUUUACAGAUAUGUCCUAUUUUGUUAAGUUGUUUAUAAAAUAAUUCCGUUUUUUUGAAAACUUA